UCUACCACGUGUUCUAAAUUGGUUAGACAUUAUACCCAUUUGAAUUGCCUUCACUCCUGAGUCUCUGAGUGUCAGGUUCAAGCUGCUGACCGACGAGGUUCCUUAUGCUUGCGAACCAGUUAGAUUCUAUACACAUAUGAAUCUUCCUCAUAUUCGAAUAUCUGAAUGUCAGACUCAAGCUGAUGAUAUAUGAGGUAUGGUCCUCGCUGUAUCAAUCAAGUCCCAUUGAAAUAUUGAAACGUUGUUCAUACAUCUUUGAAUGACCUUUUAUGUGCUGACAAUAUGUUCUGAAAUGAAGAGAUUUUACCCCUGAUGAAGUCUUGGAACAAGACGAAACGCGUUGGGUUAUUUAUCUAUCUAUUAUCUGAUGUUACCUCCGAAUCUACAAUAAGGAGAAGGAGGAAAUCGUAGUGAUAUAUCUACGCUUUUUCCUCAUCACUACAAACUGAUUGUUCAAA